rnacentral:rRNA from 1 species
UAGGGAAUCUUCGGCAAUGGGGGCAACCCUGACCGAGCAACGCCGCGUGGGUGAAGAAGGUUUUCGGAUCGUAAAGCUCUGUUGUAAGAGAAGAACGUGUGUGAGAGUGGAAAGUUCACACAGUGACGGUAACUUACCAGAAAGGGACGGCUAACUACGUGCCAGCAGCCGCGGUAAUACGUAGGUCCCGAGCGUUGUCCGGAUUUAUUGGGCGUAAAGCGAGCGCAGGCGGUUUAAUAAGUCUGAAGUUAAAGGCAGUGGCUUAACCAUUGUUCGCUUUGGAAACUGUUAAACUUGAGUGCAGAAGGGGAGAGUGGAAUUCCAUGUGUAGCGGUGAAAUGCGUAGAUAUAUGGAGGAACACCGGUGGCGAAAGCGGCUCUCUGGUCUGUAACUGACGCUGAGGCUCGAAAGCGUGGGGAGCAAACAGG